rnacentral:rRNA from 1 species
UACGUAGGGUGCAAGCGUUAAUCGGAAUUACUGGGCGUAAAGCGUGCGCAGGCGGUUUUGUAAGACAGAGGUGAAAUCCCCGGGCUCAACCUGGGAACUGCCUUUGUGACUGCAAGGCUAGAGUACGGCAGAGGGGGAUGGAAUUCCGCGUGUAGCAGUGAAAUGCGUAGAUAUGCGGAGGAACACCGAUGGCGAAGGCAAUCCCCUGGGCCUGUACUGACGCUCAUGCACGAAAGCGUGGGGAGCAAAC